rnacentral:rRNA from 1 species
UACGGAGGGUGCGAGCGUUGUCCGGAUUUAUUGGGUUUAAAGGGUGCGUAGGUGGCUUUUUAAGUCAGUGGUGAAAUACAGCCGCUCAACGGUUGAGGUGCCAUUGAUACUGAAGAGCUUGAAACAAGUGGAGGCUGCCGGAAUGGAUGGUGUAGCGGUGAAAUGCAUAGAUAUCAUCCAGAACACCGAUUGCGAAGGCAGGUGGCUACGUUUGAUUUGACACUGAGGCACGAAAGUAUGGGGAGCAAACAGG